GGGAUUAAUACCCGAUGGCAUGUAUUUCCGGCAUCGGAGAUACAUUAAAGAUUUAUCGGUAACGGAUGAGGAUGCGUACGAUUAGCUGGUUGGCGGGGUAACGGCCCACCAAGGCGACGAUCGUUAGGGGUUCUGAGAGGAAGGUCCCCCACACUGGAACUGAGACACGGUCCAGACUCCUACGGGAGGCAGCAGUGAGGAAUAUUGGUCAAUGGUCGAGAGACUGAACCAGCCAAGUAGCGUGAAGGAUGACUGCCCUACGGGUUGUAAACUUCUUUUGUUUGGGAAUAAAUGAUACUACGUGUAGUAUUUUGCAUGUACCUUACGAAUAAGCAUCGGCUAAUUCCGUG
rnacentral:rRNA from 1 species